GCUCUCACCAUCUUUCUUUUUCCAUUCAUUUUUCUUCGGUUCUUGAGCUUUCUCGGGUGUAAUACUGGAAUAUGUUUUUCUUUUUUUUUUAAAUAAGUCGGUCGGUCGGUCGGUUCCUAUGAUAUUGGAAGAGCCAACCGACCGACUGGUCGAUUUUUUAGAGAGAAAAACCGACACCGACCGACUCAUUCCAUAAAUCGACCGACCAACGUCGGUUCGGUCGGUUUUAGUUGGUCGAAUCGGUUUUUCGGCUUGGUUUGAUCACCCCUACUUUAUUCCAUUCUCGUCGAUGGCCGCCCCUCAAAGUCGAGUUGAGAGGAACAAGUCCGUUCAAAAAAGGAAGUAACGGAAAGAUGAAGACAGAAGUGAAAGAUCAGGAAAUUGAACCAUUGAGACGGACAAAACGUAGAGUGGUGCUGCUUUCUAACGUCAAUCAAUCAUCGUGCACUACCAAGUUUAGUUCAGCAAGAGAUAACAGAUCUAUGCUAUCUAAUGUUCAAGAUUUUGAUGCUCCAAGUUUCAACUUGUUAUAACAAUUUUAAGUAUUGACUUUAUGUAUUGGAUUACAUUUGAGUUUUUACUUAGUUAUUAUUUUCUUUGA